UCACACGAGUGAAAAGAAACCCAGGAA
rnacentral:piRNA from 1 species